rnacentral:rRNA from 1 species
AUGACGUCAAAUCAUCAUGCCCCUUAUGUUCUGGGCUACACACGUGCUACAAUGGCCGGUACAGACGGACGCAAAGCCGCGAGGUGGAGCAAAUCCUAAAAGCCGGUCUAGUUCGGAUUGCAGGCUGCAAUUCGCCUGCAUGAAGUCGGAAUCGCUAGUAAUCGCAGGUCAGCAUACUGCGGUGAAUACGUUCCCGGGCCUU